AGUGAACGCUGGCGGUAGGCCUAACACAUGCCAGUCGAACGGCAGCACAGUAAGAGCUUGCUCUUACGGGUGGCGAGUGGCGGACGGGUGAUGAAUACAUCGGAAUCUACUUUUUCGUGGGGGAUAACGUAGGGAAACUUACGCUAAUACCGCAUACGACCUACGGGUGAAAGCAGGGGAUCUUCGGACCUUGCGCGAUUGAAUGAGCCGAUGUCGGAUUAGCUAGUUGGCGGGGUAAAGGCCCACCAAGGCGACGAUCCGUAGCUGGUCUGAGAGGAUGAUCAGCCACACUGGAACUGAGACACGGUCCAGACUCCUACGGGAGGCAGCAGUGGGGAAUAUUGGACAAUGGGCGCAAGCCUGAUCCAGCCAUACCGCGUGGGUGAAGAAGGCCUUCGGGUUGUAAAGCCCUUUUGUUGGGAAAGAAAAGCAGCAGGUUAAUACCCCGCUGUUCUGACGGUACCCAAAGAAUAAGCACCGGCUAACUUCGUG
rnacentral:rRNA from 1 species